rnacentral:rRNA from 1 species
UACGUAGGUGGCAAGCGUUGUCCGGAUUUACUGGGCGUAAAGAGCGCGCAGGCGGUCGUUCAAGUCGCGUGUGAAAGCCCCCGGCUCAACUGGGGAGGGUCACGCGAUACUGAUCGACUGGAAGGCAGGAGAGGGUAGUGGAAUUCCCGGUGUAGUGGUGAAAUGCGUAGAUAUCGGGAGGAAGGCCAGCGGCGAAGGCGGAUCACUGGACAGUUCCUGACGCUCAGGCACGAAGGCCAGGGGAGCAAACGGG